rnacentral:tRNA from 1 species
UGGCGGGUGGCUCAGUGGUUAGAGCCUAUGGCUUGGGAGCGAAAGAUCUCGGAUUCGAAUCUCGCGAG